rnacentral:rRNA from 1 species
GAAUAGGGCGUUUAGUAUUUGGUCGUAGACCCGAAACCAGGUGAUCUACCCUUGGUCAGGUUGAAGUUCAGGUAACACUGAAUGGAGGACCGAACCGACUUACGUUGAAAAGUGAGCGGAUGAACUGAGGGUAGCGGAGAAAUUCCAAUCGAACCUGGAGAUAGCUGGUUCUCUCCGAAAUAGCUUUAGGGCUAGCCUCAAGUGAUGAUUAUUGGAGGUAGAGCACUGUUUGGACGAGGGGCCCCUCUCGGGUUACCGAAUUCAGACAAACUCCGAAUGCCAAUUAAUUUAACUUGGGAGUCAGAACAUGGGUGAUAAGGUCCGUGUUCGAAAGGGAAACAGCCCAGACCACCAGCUAAGGUCCCAAAAUAUAUGUUAAGUGGAAAAGGAUGUGGCGUUGCCCAGACAACUAGGAUGUUGGCUUAGAAGCAGCCAUCAUUUAAAGAGUGCGUAAUAGCUCACUAGUCGAGUGACACUGCGCCGAAAAUGUACCGGGGCUAAACAUAUUACCGAAGCUGUGGAUUGUCCUUUGGACAAUGGUAGGAGAGCGUUCUAAGGGCGUUGAAGCAUGAUCGUAAGGACAUGUGGAGCGCUUAGAAGUGAGAAUGCCGGUGUGAGUAGCGAAAGACGGGUGAGAAUCCCGUCCACCGAUUGACUAAGGUUUCCAGAGGAAGGCUCGUCCGCUCUGGGUUAGUCGGGUCCUAAGCUGAGGCCGACAGGCGUAGGCGAUGGAUAACAGGUUGAUAUUCCUGUACCACCUAUAAUCGUUUUAAUCGAUGGGGGGACGCAGUAGGAUAGGCGAAGCGUGCGAUUGGAUUGCACGUCUAAGCAGUAAGGCUGAGUAUUAGGCAAAUCCGGUACUCGUUAAGGCUGAGC